rnacentral:rRNA from 1 species
UACGUAGGGUGCAAGCGUUGUCCGGAAUUAUUGGGCGUAAAGAGCUCGUAGGCGGUCUGUCGCGUCGGCUGUGAAAACUCGGGGCUCAACCCCGAGCCUGCAGUCGAUACGGGCAGGCUAGAGUUCGGUAGGGGAGACUGGAAUUCCUGGUGUAGCGGUGAAAUGCGCAGAUAUCAGGAGGAACACCGAUGGCGAAGGCAGGUCUCUGGGCCGAUACUGACGCUGAGGAGCGAAAGCGUGGGGAGCGAACAGG